UACAGAGGUCUCAAGCGUUGUUCGGAUUCAUUGGGCGUAAAGGGUGUGUAGGUGGCGCGCUAAGUCGGGUGUGAAAUUUCGGAGCUUAACUCCGAAACUGCAUUCGAUACUGGCGUGCUUGAGGACUGGAGAGGAGACUGGAAUUCAUGGUGUAGAGGUGAAAUUCGUAGAUAUCGGGAGGAACACCGGUGGCGAAGGCGGCGACCUGGGUCGAUACUGACGCUGAGGUGCGAAAGCGUGGGGAGCAAACAGG
rnacentral:rRNA from 1 species